rnacentral:miRNA from 1 species
AGGUAAGGUCCUACAGCGU